UAUGUGUGUGUUUGGUCGUGAUUUACAGGAGCCAAGAAAGGGGCUCUUACAAAGCCCUAAAACUCACAAGAAAUCCAACAAAAAUCGAAGAUAGAACAAGCUAAAAAUUGGGGCUUUUAAUAAAUUUGGGAUCACCCAAGCUAGAAGAUUGCAAGUUUGACUCUGACAAGCUAGGUAGGAGCUUGGAAAUGAACGGGUCAAAUGGAUACAAGUUCAAGUAUGAAGCUCGCAAGGAUGCAAGGUAAGUAUAACUUACACUAGUCAUAUAUUUUAGAAUGUUCUUUUGUCGUAUUGACUACGAAUAAGACAAAUGGUAAUUUAGUCACACGUUGACAAUAAUCGUUAGUUUUAAAAGACGCUUUCCCGCGUAAGACAUAAAGAGCCGAAAGUGGUAAUAAACGGUUUAUAAAUAAAAUGAGCAUACGGUGUUAAAAGGAGCGAGUCAUGUAGAUGAGAUGAUAAUAAAUAUUAUCUCGCAAAGGUAAACGGUCAAUUCGGCCAAACGGGUCAAAAGGUGUAGACAUCACCUUUUGACAAUAUCGACUAAUGAUUCUGGUGUCGAGUUAUAUGUUUACAGGAGUAGAUAUCCAAUGGAUACUCGCAUCGCUCUUAAUUAGCAAUUAUAAAGCAAGGUAUUAAACCGGGUUAGUAAGUUGAUCCGAGCCAGGUAUGUAUAAUAGAUUAACUCAUCAUGUAGAAUUUGAAGUUCGAUGAAAGUUAGGCAAAAUAAAAAAAGGGCAUUCGGUUACCUUAAUAGGUAAACUAAAGGAUUUAAAUUAUUUAGACAGAAUGUUUUGAAAACAAGAUUUGGUUAAAAAUGAGAAAUUAGAAUCAAACAACAGGUUUAUUUGAUAAAAUCACGAACGGGUCAAAUUUGGUAAAAAGGGGUAAUAAGCCGAAGACUUAAAAGUCUUAAAUUUUGUUAAUCCAGAUGUUGGGUCUUGACUCCAUUUGAUGGAGGUUCAAUUUACAAUCACGUAGGAAGAAACGGUAGGUCAAACGGACAAGCGGAUUAAAAGUUAUGAAGGUUUCCGUUUUAGAAAUCGGCAAACUUGGAAAAUCUUGCAGAGGCCACCGUAAGUUACGGUAGCUACCGUAACUUACGGUAGCCUUAAAAAUCUUUACGCUUUAAACCCACUGAGUUACGGUGGAAGAAUCAACAUUCAGGGGCUACCGUAAAUUACGGUAGCCACCGUAAUUUACGGUAGACCCUGUAACAAAAUUUAUUUUAAUCAGUUUCGUUUCCCAGAACUCGUUAGACACGUUUAUAACCCCCGUAAGACUAAAGCAUUUUUUGUUUAUGAAAUGUAGGUACAUUUUGGAUGCCGGAAGACGAUCAAGCUCAUUGGAGAACCGAACACGAUAAAGAUACAUGCUUCCGCACAGUGUCCCGUCGUAAAUUUUAAACGACGAAUUCAAUUACGUUAUGUCGAAUAACUUAUGAUUUGUAAAAGUUUUAAUAAACCCAUAUUUUUAUAGUAUGUGUAGUCUUAUCUACACAACUAAUUGUUGGUAAUUAUAUGUAAAACCGUUAAAUAGUAAUUAGGGUGUUACAAGUUGGUAUCAGAGCUCAUGGUUAAAGAGUAAAGUGUGUUCGGUUCGAGGCUUGAUCGCAAAUCCGUUGAAGGACACUCGCAUCUGAAGAUGGUUAGAGUUUAACAAAUUUCGAAUAUGACAGAGGAACAGUCCGAAGUAUGACAAGUAGAGCAUGCUCACCAAGGACCCAAAUCGCGUAACGAUAGCAAGUAAGGAUAAUUGGCAAGGAAAGCCCGUUAGGGCAAGCAUUACCAGGAGCCAAGAAAAGGGCUCUUACAAAGCCCUAAAACUCACAAGAAAUCCAACAAAAAUCGAAGAUAGAACAAGCUAAAAAUUGGGGCUUUUAAUAAAUUUGUGAUCACCCAAGCUAGAAGAUUGCAAGUUUGACUCUGACAAGCUAGGUAGGAGCUUGGAAAUGAACGGGUCAAAUGGAUACAAGUUCAAGUAUGAAGCUCGCAAGGAUGCAAGGUAAGUAUAACUUACACUAGUCAUAUAUUUUAGAAUGUUCUUUUGUCGUAUUGACUACGAAUAAGACAAAUGGUAAUUUAGUCACACGUUGACAAUAAUCGUUAGUUUUAAAAGACGCUUUCCCGCGUAAGACAUAAAGAGCCGAAAGUGGUAAUAAACGGUUUAUAAAUAAAAUGAGCAUACGGUGUUAAAAGGAACGAGUCAUGUAGAUGAGAUGAUAAUAAAUAUUAUCUCGCAAAGAUAAACGGUCAAUUCGGCCAAGGGGGUCAAAAGGUGUAGACAUCACCUUUUGACAAUAUCGACUAAUGAUUCUGGUGUCGAGUUAUAUGUUUACAGGAGUAGAUAUCCAAUGGAUACUCGCAUCGCUCUUAAUUAGCAAUUAUAAAGCAAGGUAUUAAACCGGGUUAGUAAGUUGAUCCGAGCCAGGUACAUUUUGAAUGCCGGAAGACGAUUAAGCUCAUUGGAGAACCGAAUACGAUAAAGAUACAUGCUUCCGCACAGUGUCCCGUCGUAAAUUUUAAACGACGAAUUCAAUUACGUUAUGUCGAAUAACUUAUGAUUUGUAAAAGUUUUAAUAAACCCAUAUUUUUAUAGUAUGUGUAGUCUUAUCUACACAACUAAUUGUUGGUAAUUAUAUGUAAAACCGUUAAAUAGUAA